CACCAGCGCCACAAGUGGGAACCAUAAUUAUUGGGCCUAAAGCAUCCGUAGCCGGUUUAAUAAAUCUUCUGUGAAAUUGUUGGACUUAAUCUAACAAAGUGCAGAAGACACUGUUGAACUUGGAAUUGGGAGGAGUUAGAGGUAUUUUAAGGGGAGCGGUAAAAUGCUAUAAUCCUUAAAGGACCACCAGUGGCGAAGGCGUCUAACUAGAACAACUUCGACGGUGAGGGAUGAAAGCUAGGGGAGCAAAACGGAUUAAGAUACCCGCGUA
rnacentral:rRNA from 1 species